AGAACAGCGGUGGGACAAACAGCCGGUCAGCAUAAACAUGACAAAUAAUGACUGUCACCCUGUCGCUUGCACUGCAAUGGACGCAAAAUCGGAGGAACGACCUGUGGGGUCCAAGUAUCAGUUGCUGGACCUGCCCUGGGAGGAUGUCUUGGUGACCCAUGUGCUGUGCUACAUGCCUUUGCGGCAUCUGGUCAUCCUGCAGCGCGUGAGCAAGAGCUUUCGCUCUCUUGUUCAGGUUUACCUGGCCAACUGCCGCACUUUCGACUCUGCACAGACAGGUCCUCGUAUUCCAAAGGAAGCUUUCUGCUCCAUGCUUCGUGACAACAAGGUCCUCCACAGCCUCUCCGUCCACGGCUGCUCCGACUGGAUCACUGAUAAAGAGCUGCUCCCUGUGAUUGGUCAGAACCAGUUGCUUCUUCGCGUGGACCUGCGCGGAUGUGUCAGGCUGAGUCGCCAUGCUCUGGUGGCCGUGUCCCUGAGCUGCCCCCGUCUGCAGCAUCUGUGCCUGGCACACUGCGAGUGGGUGGACAGCCUGGCACUGAGGAGCCUGGCUGACCACUGCAGGGACCUGCGCUCUCUGGACCUCACCGCCUGCAGGCAGCUGAGGGACGAGGCUGUAUGUUAUGUGGUGGCAAAGUGGCCCUCACUGCGCUCGCUUUCCGUGGCUGUUAAUGCUAACAUCACGGACGUGGCUGUGGAGGAGGUGGCCAAGCGCUGCAGGGAGCUGGAGCAACUCGACCUGACGGGGUGUCUGAGGGUACGCAACGAGGCUAUCAGGACCGUGGCUGAAUAUUGCCCUAAACUGCAGUCCCUAAAGGUGAAUCAUUGUCACAAUGUUAGUGAGUCCAGCCUGGGUGUUCUGCGAAGGAGGAAUGUAGAGAUCGACGUAGAACCUCCCCUCCAAAGGGCGCUAGUGCUGCUUCAGGAUGUCGUGGGCUUCGCCCCCUUCAUCAACCUCCAGAUAUAAAACCCACCUGGGACCACAUGUAUCAUACAUCUCAGAGUAAGAGUGCUAAUCUCCCAGCAUCUUCUCCACAUACGGUCAUAUUUAUUAGGAUAUAACGCAGCAGCAGUUAAGUCUUUUUCUGAGAAUGAUGAUACAUAUGACCUCUGCAGCAGUCUAGACACAGGUUAUCUCAUCAUUGAUCUAUUUGGAGCAGCUCUCUGUGCUGGCACACUGCAAUAUCAUCUAUGGAAUAUGAAAAUGUAUAGUAGCAUUUUAGUGCAGCAGUAUCUGUCCAAACCCAGUCCUGGAGGCUACAGCACCCCUGUUGAUUAUUAAUUUUAGCAUCAGGUGCAUUCUAACAGGGGAAAUUAAAGUAGCUCUCCAGACUGGACUUUGGCACACUUCUGUUUUAGAAAGUUUUAGCUCUUGUAAACAAAUUUCCAGAUUUUCUGAACAUUUAUUGAAUCUGUCAUACUCGACGUUUGCAUGUAUAAAUGCAAAGUUCUUUGUAUUCUACUAUGACAAUAUGAUGCAUUCUGAGCACUCCAGUUGCUUUAGAAAUCUUUUGAAUUAUGAUGGGAGGCUCAUCUGAUUCAUGCAGAAUUGCAGGACUUAUAGUGUUUAAUUUUAUUUAUUUGGAUUAUUUUUGCUGUUUAAUUUUGCACUUAUGAGAGACUGAAAAAAAUCACUUGCACUUUCCAGAGUAUCCUUUUGUGUCAUACCUCACUGAGCAAGUGGGUUGUGACGUGUUCCGGUGUCAGUGGACAUACAUGCACCUUCUCCAUUUCUGCACAGUAGAAUUGCUACUGUAUAACAUAAAAGUGAUGGUAAAAAGUAACGCACAGUCAGUAUAGGUCUAGCUAUUGAGUUAACUGGAGUUAACUCGCCACAUGUGGAUGCAUUUAAUACAAUCUUAAGGUACUGAUCAUUUCAGUAAUGGCUUUGUAAAAAAUCAUUCAUAAAAUUUUAUUUAAGAUUUAAAGCUUUAUUAGUAAAUUGCAUUUGGAAAAGAAUGGCACCAGGCUUAGAUUGGUCUC